AAUUUGAAACAAAUCUGUUACUUUAUCAACCACAAGAUAAUUUAUUUCCUUUAAAUGGCUCAAAUUAAGCAUCUGUUUGUUUCUUUUUUCUAAAAAAAAUACUUUUUAACCCCAAAUGGCCAAAUUCACUAUUUUUCCAGAAAAACGGCCAGAGGGCUCAUUAGAUACGCAUGCUGCACGGUCCUUUAUAAUUUGGAAUCAAAUGAUGAGUAACAGAAUGAUGAUUAUGGCGUCAAGGGACGGCGGUGGCGGAGGAGGCGUGGGAGGGAGGAGAUCGCAGCCAUCAACAACUUCGGUGUCGGCGUAUUUGAGUUGUGUUGGAAUUUGGUUUAAAGAUUGAAAAUUUUGAAGUAUAAAAUAUGGAAAGUGACUUUGUGUCAAUUUCAGCCAUAUAUUCGGAUUUGAUGGGAUAGUCAAAUUAUAAAUGUAAAUAGAGUAACUUGUUCUACUAGUAGAUCAUCUUGUAUAUUUGGAAUUUAAAAAUAUCUUGUAUAUUUGGAAUUUAAAAAUCAAUUCCUGAUGAAUGAGAAAUUGCAAUCCAACGUUGGAAAGAAAAGAGGAAAAAUUGGCAGGUAAAUUUGCCUAACUUUUAUUUUAGAAGUUAUCCAAUCUUCACCUAUUGAGAAACUAUUUAUUUUGGAAGUUACACAUUUACUUAUAAGCAAUCUUUUAAGUUUGGCCGAAAAUGCUGUAGUACCUUCAUACCCUGUGCUUGAAAGGUUAUACACUGAAAUGUAAUACUAGUACAUGUGCUGCAAAGGUUUUCACCAUGCAAUGCCUAGACGAUUAUUGAGCGAAAUUAUGAAGUUCUGUCUAUGUUGUAGGAGAUCAGAUUAUGUUUUUCCUUUCGUUUUGAGGAUGUUAGUUUGAAAUUAUGAAUCUUUCCACUCUUUGUUAUUUCGGUUGAAAUUCUUCCUUCUGAUAUGUGCACAGUGGCUUGAGAAUAAAAUUAGAAACUUGAUUCAAUUGUUUAAAAACAAAAAGAUCUCCACCUGAUUUCCUUAUAUUCUUGAAGCUCCAGGUGGCUGCAAUAGGAUUUUGUGAAUUAUGCGCGUUCCAUUUCCAGCCCUUUCAUAUGCACAGCUUGUUUAGUUGCUUUGACUGUUAAUUGUCCAUACAUAAAUGAAUAUGAAUACGCAAAAGUUUCAAGAAUUAGCAUUUUGAUUAGUAGGCAAGUAUUAUGGAACUGAACAAUUUUUUCAUUUUAUCUAUUUUUUCAGGGACGCCAUAUGAAGGAGGCAUAUUUUUUCUCAAUAUAACAUUUUCUAGUGAUUAUCCGUUUAAACCUCCCAAGGUAAUGCUACAUAACACUCGGAUCACUGACGAUCACCAAGUAGUCUAUUCAUGAUAUUUGUCCUUGAACAACAGGAUUUCCUAUAUCUUGCUUAAUUUUUAUUUUGGAAUAAUGUAGUCUAUGGAUUAUGAUUGGUGGAUGGCCCUUUUCCUUAAUUAGAUAACUUAAGAUUUUGAUAUUUUUUAAUACAUUCUGGGCUAAAAUCAAAAGGUUCAUCUAGCAAGUGUUAACAUUUCACUCUUAGAGGGCCUUGGGCUUUUAGCAUGUGGCCAGUUCCACCUAGACAUACCUUUGCAAUUCUAUCCAUAAGAAGGAUAAGUAAAUCCAGUUGUAUGUCAACUAGGAAGUUCUGAAUUACAGUGUUUGGUUUGAAUUGCAUUUACUUAGAUUGUAAUGUAAGUUCUAUUGAAUGCGACUAAUAUUUGUGAAAUACAAAAUUUUCAAGUUUUUGAAUUACAAUCGAGUUUAUUGGAGUUCUCAUACCAGAAUAUUUUUCAAAAGUAUUCCUGAGGAUUAACUUUGGGGUAUAAAAAAUGGUUACCUCUCUUGGUCUCAAUCCUCAAGUCAUUAUGAUUCUCCCAUACACCUCACCUUUUUCUUUCGUCCUCUGUAUAAUGUUCAUUGUUCUCCCUCCUUUUAAUAUUGACUUUUGACCCCAGGCUUGCAGGUAGUAUUUAAGCCUUUGUUUGGAGCCGAUUUUUUAGGUCAGAAAAAUUCAUUUUUGACCGUUAUCUUUCCAAAUGGGUUCCAACCGUGAGAGACAAAGUCAACAAAAAUGACUUAGACAGGUGACCAACGGUACAAAAAUUCAUCUUUUUCCCCUUAAAAUCG
rnacentral:lncRNA from 1 species